rnacentral:rRNA from 1 species
AUUGAACGCUGGCGGCAUGCCUUACACAUGCAAGUCGAACGGUAACAGGUCUUCGGAUGCUGACGAGUGGCGAACGGGUGAGUAAUGUAUCGGAACGUGCCCAGUCGUGGGGGAUAACUACUCGAAAGAGUGGCUAAUACCGCAUACGACCUGAGGGUGAAAGCGGGGGAUCGCAAGACCUCGCGCGAUUGGAGCGGCCGAUAUCAGAUUAGGUAGUUGGUGGGGUAAAGGCCCACCAAGCCAACGAUCUGUAGCUGGUCUGAGAGGACGACCAGCCACACUGGGACUGAGACACGGCCCAGACUCCUACGGGAGGCAGCAGUGGGGAAUUUUGGACAAUGGACGCAAGUCUGAUCCAGCCAUGCCGCGUGCGGGAAGAAGGCCUUCGGGUUGUAAACCGCUUUUGUCAGGGAAGAAACGGGCGUCUCUAAUACAGAUGCCUAAUGACGGUACCUGAAGAAUAAGCACCGGCUAACUACGUGCCAGCAGCCGCAGUAAGAC